CAGUUGUCUUUGCACUUGGAGCACUGUUGGCCUGCUGUGUGACUGUGAUUGCUGUCCUUAUGUUCUACGUUAAAGGGAGGAGAGUUUGUGAACAUUGCAAAGGAGUAACAGGAACUUCUCACACUCUUGGACAUGACAAGACAACAGCUGACCAAGCAAAUGAUCUGGAUGGUAAAGCAGAGGCAGUGAACUAUGCAGCGCUGGAUUUCUCCACAGCAAAAGUGAAGAGAGGGAAUAAAAAGAGGAGCGAGUACACUGCGUGUGUGUACUCUGCUGUUAGAUCAGAUUACCACAACGAGUAAAAC